AAGAUGUGGACUGAAGCCUGGACUGGCUGGUAUACUGAAUUUGGUGGUGCAGUUCCUUACAGACCAGCUGAAGACUUGGCGUUUUCAGUUGCAAGGUUUAUACAGAAGGGAGGAUCAUUCAUAAAUUACUAUAUGUAUCAUGGGGGAACAAAUUUUGGAAGAACUGCUGGUGGUCCUUUCAUUGCCACAAGUUAUGAUUAUGAUGCUCCAAUUGAUGAAUAUGGACUACUGAGGCAGCCUAAAUGGGGCCAUUUAAAGGAUUUGCAUAGAGCAAUUAAGUUGUGUGAACCGGCUUUGGUAUCAGGGGAUCCAGCUGUGAUACCACUCGGAAAUUAUCAAGAGGCUCAUGUAUUUAAAUCUACAUCUGGAGCUUGUGCUGCAUUCCUUGCAAAUUACAAUCAG
rnacentral:misc_RNA from 1 species